rnacentral:rRNA from 1 species
AUACGUAGGGGGCGAGCGUUGUCCGGAAUGAUUGGGCGUAAAGGGCGCGUAGGCGGCCCGGUAAGUCUGGAGUGAAAGUCCUGUUUUUAAGAUGGGAAUUGCUUUGGAUACUGUCGGGCUUGAGUGCAGGAGAGGUAAGUGGAAUUCCCAGUGUAGCGGUGAAAUGCGUAGAGAUUGGGAGGAACACCAGUGGCGAAGGCGACUUACUGGACUGUAACUGACGCUGAGGCGCGAAAGCGUGGGUAGCGAACAGGAUUAGAUACCCUGGUAGUCCACGCCGUAAACGAUGGAUACUAGGUGUAGGAGGUAUCGACCCCUUCUGUGCCGGAGUUAACACAAUAAGCAUUCCGCCUGGGGAGUACGGCCGCAAGGUUGAAACUCAAAUGAAUUGACGGGG